UUGAUCCUGGCUCAGGAUGAACGCUAGCUACAGGCUUAACACAUGCAAGUCGAGGGGCAGCAUGAACUUAGCUUGCUAAGUUUGAUGGCGACCGGCGCACGGGUGAGUAACACGUAUCCAACCUUCCGUUUACUCAGGGAUAGCCUUUCGAAAGAAAGAUUAAUACCUGAUAGUAUGGUGAGAUUGCAUGAUAGCACCAUUAAAGAUUUAUUGGUAAACGAUGGGGAUGCGUUCCAUUAGGUAGUAGGCGGGGUAACGGCCCACCUAGCCGACGAUGGAUAGGGGUUCUGAGAGGAAGGUCCCCCACAUUGGAACUGAGACACGGUCCAAACUCCUACGGGAGGCAGCAGUGAGGAAUAUUGGUCAAUGGGCGAGAGCCUGAACCAGCCAAGUAGCGUGAAGGAUGAAGGUCCUACGGAUUGUAAACUUCUUUUAUACGGGAAUAAAGUAUCCUACGUGUAGGAUUUUGUAUGUACCGUAUGAAUAAGCAUCGGCUAACUCCGUGCCAGCAGCCGCGGUAAUACGGAGGAUGCGAGCGUUAUCCGGAUUUAUUGGGUUUAAAGGGAGCGCAGACGGGAGAUUAAGUCAGUUGUGAAAGUUUGCGGCUCAACCGUAAAAUUGCAGUUGAUACUGGUUUCCUUGAGUGCAGUUGAGGCAGGCGGAAUUCGUGGUGUAGCGGUGAAAUGCUUAGAUAUCACGAAGAACCCCGAUUGCGAAGGCAGCUUGCUAAACUGUAACUGACGUUCAUGCUCGAAAGUGUGGGUAUCAAACAGGAUUAGAUACCCUGGUAGUCCACACGGUAAACGAUGGAUACUCGCUGUUGGCGAUAUACUGUCAGCGGCCAAGCGAAAGCAUUAAGUAUCCCACCUGGGGAGUACGCCGGCAACGGUGAAA
rnacentral:rRNA from 1 species